CGGGACGGGUGAGUAACGCGUGGGGAACCUGCCCUGCACAGGGGGAUAACACUUAGAAAUAGGUGCUAAUACCGCAUAAGCGCACAGUAUCGCAUGAUACAGUGUGAAAAACUCCGGUGGUACAGGAUGGACCCGCGUCUGAUUAGCUGGUUGGCGGGGUAACGGCCCACCAAGGCGACGAUCAGUAGCCGGCCUGAGAGGGUGAACGGCCACAUUGGGACUGAGACACGGCCCAAACUCCUACGGGAGGCAGCAG
rnacentral:rRNA from 1 species